AUUGAACGCUGGCGGCAUGCUUUACACAUGCAAGUCGAACGGCAGCACGGGGGCAACCCUGUGGCGAGUGGCGAACGGGUGAGUAACACAUCGGAACGUGCCCAGUUGUGGGGGAUAACCUAUCGAAAGGUAGGCUAAUACCGCAUGAGCUCGGCAAGAGGAAAGCGGGGGACUCAGCGAUGGGCCUCGCGCGACUGGAGCGGCCGAUGUCCGAUUAGCAGUUGGUGGGGUAAAGGCUUACCAAGGCGACGAUCGGUAGCUGGUCUGAGAGGAUGAUCAGCCACACUGGGACUGAGACACGGCCCAGACUCCUACGGGAGGCAGCAGUGGGGAAUUUUGGACAAUGGGGCAACCCUGAUCCAGCCAUGCCGCGUGAGUGAAGAAGGCCUUCGGUUGUAAGU
rnacentral:rRNA from 1 species